AGAUUAGAGUGUGCUAGCUUGCUAGAAUUUAGAUACAGGUGCUGCACGGCUGUCGUCAGCUCGUGUCGUGAGAUGUGGGUUAAGUCCCGCAACGAGCGCAACCUCGUGUUUAGUUGCUAACAGUUCGGCUGAGAACUCUAAACAGACUGCCUACGCAAGUAGGAGGAAGGUGAGGACGACGUCAAGUCAUCAUGGCCCUUACGGCCAGGGCUACACACGUGCUACAAUGGGGUAUACAAAGAGCAGCGAUACGGUGACGUGGAGCAAAUCUAGAAAAUGCCUCUCAGUUCGGAUUGUAGUCUGCAACUCGACUACAUGAAGUUGGAAUCGCUAGUAAUCGUAGAUCAGCAAUGCUACGGUGAAUACGUUCCCGGGUCUU
rnacentral:rRNA from 1 species